rnacentral:tRNA from 1 species
GACUCGGUGGCGCAACGGUAUCGCAUCUGACUCCAGAUCAGAAGGUUACGUGUUCGAAUCACGCCCGGGUCA